GACGAACGCUGGCGGCGUGCUUAACACAUGCAAGUCGAACGGAAAGGCCCUGCUUUUGUGGGGUGCUCGAGUGGCGAACGGGUGAGUAACACGUGAGUAACCUGCCCUUGACUUUGGGAUAACUUCAGGAAACUGGGGCUAAUACCGGAUAGGAGCUCCUGCUGCAUGGUGGGGGUUGGAAAGUUUCGGCGGUUGGGGCUGGACUCGCGGCUUAUCAGCUUGUUGGUGGGGUAGUGGCUUACCAAGGCUUUGACGGGUAGCCGGCCUGAGAGGGUGACCGGCCACAUUGGGACUGAGAUAAGGCCCAGACUCCAACGGGAGGCAGCAGGGGAGAAUAUUGCACAAUGGGCGGAAGCCUGAGGCAGCAACGCCGAGUGCGGGAUGACGGACUUCGGGUUGGAAACCGCUUUCGCCGGUGACGAAGCGUGAGUGACGGUAAUGGGUAAAGAAGCACCGGCUAACUACGUG
rnacentral:rRNA from 1 species